rnacentral:rRNA from 1 species
AGGUGAACCAGCGGAGGGAUCAUUACCGAGUUUACAACUCCCAAACCCAAUGUGAACGUUACCAAACUGUUGCCUCGGCGGGAUCUCUGCCCCGGGUGCGUCGCAGCCCCGGACCAAGGCGCCCGCCGGAGGACCAACCAAAACUCUUAUUGUAUACCCCCUCGCGGGUUUUUUUUUAUAAUCUGAGCCUUCUCGGCGCCUCUCGUAGGCGUUUCGAAAAUGAAUCAAAACUUUCAACAACGGAUCUCUUGGUUCUGGCAUCGAUGAAGAACGCAGCGAAAUGCGAUAAGUAAUGUGAAUUGCAGAAUUCAGUGAAUCAUCGAAUCUUUGAACGCACAUUGCGCCCGCCAGUAUUCUGGCGGGCAUGCCUGUCCGAGCGUCAUUUCAACCCUCGAACCCCUCCGGGGGGUCGGCGUUGGGGAUCGGCCCUCCCUUAGCGGGUGGCCGUCUCCGAAAUACAGUGGCGGUCUCGCCGCAGCCUCUCCUGCGCAGUAGUUUGCACACUCGCAUCGGGAGCGCGGCGCGUCCACAGCCGUUAAACACCCAACUUCUGAAAUGUUGACCUCGGAUCAGGUAGGAAUACCCGCUGAACUUAAGCAUAUCAAUAAGCGGAGGAAAAGAAACCAACAGGGAUUGCCCCAGUAACU